rnacentral:rRNA from 1 species
AUUGAACGCUGGCGGCAUGCUUUACACAUGCAAGUCGAACGGUAACAGGUUAAGCUGACGAGUGGCGAACGGGUGAGUAAUGCAUCGGAACGUGCCCGAUCGUGGGGGAUAACGCAGCGAAAGCUGCGCUAAUACCGCAUACGAUCUGAGGAUGAAAGCGGGGGACCGUAAGGCCUCGCGCGAUCGGAGCGGCCGAUGUCAGAUUAGGUAGUUGGUGGGGUAAAGGCCCACCAAGCCGACGAUCUGUAGCUGGUCUGAGAGGACGACCAGCCACACGGGGACUGAGACACGGCCCAGACUCCUACGGGAGGCAGCAGUGGGGAAUUUUGGACAAUGGGCGAAAGCCUGAUCCCGCAAUGCCGCGUGCAGGAAGAAGGCCUUCGGGUUGUAAACUGCUUUUGUACGGAGCGAAAAGGUCCUUUCUAAUACAAGGGGCUCAUGACGGUACCGUAAGAAUAAGCACCGGCUAACUACGUGCCAGCCGCCGCCGUAAUAC